rnacentral:rRNA from 1 species
GACAGAGGUGCCGAGCGUUAGGCGGAAUCACUGGGCUUAAAGCGUGUGUAGGCGGACCGUUAAGUGCCUUGUGAAAUCCCCCGGCUCAACCGGGGGAACGGCUGGGCAUACUGGCGGUCUUGAGCCACCUAGGGGCGAGCGGAACAAGCGGUGGAGCGGUGAAAUGCGUAGAUAUCGCUUGGAACGCCGACGGUGAAAACAGCUCGCUGGGGGUGUGCUGACGCUGAGACACGAAAGCCAGGGGAGCGAACGGG